GACGAACGCUGGCGGCGCGCUUAACACAUGCAAGUCGAGCGAAGCGGCGGACGGGUGAGUAACACGUGAGUAACCCGCCUUAGACAUCGGGAUAGCCUAGGGAAACCGGGAUUAAUACCAAAUGGUCUAAGAUGGACUCGCGUCCCAUUAGCUAGUUGGUGGGUAACGGCCCACCAAGGAGACGAUGGGUACCCGGCCUUAGAGGAUGAACGGCCACAUUGGAACUGAGAAACGGUCCAAACUCUACGGGAGGCAGGAGUGGGUAAUAUUGCACAAUGGAGGGAGCUCUGAUGCAGCGACGCCUCGUGAACGAAGAAGGCUUUCGAGUCAUAAGGUUCUUUUAUAUGAGAAGCGGUACCGUAAGAGAAAGCCCCGGCUAACUACGUGCCAGCAGCCGCGGUAAUUC
rnacentral:rRNA from 1 species